rnacentral:lncRNA from 12 species
CCAUGUCCUUUCCUACCACCAAAUUUAUAAAUUUUAAGACAAGUUGCUGGGACCAUCUCACUAUAAUGUAUCUAGACAGUGCUAGAAAUCGCACAGUGGUGACACCAUGCUCAUUAUGACCAACAAGUUUCCUUCCUAAUGCCCUGCACCAAGUCACAUAUACACAUUAAACUCUAAGUAGGUUUUUCCAACCAUACAUAGUGUGUAGACCAUAAAAUAAAAUUUUCUUCCCACGUUUGGCACGUCAUUAAGCUACAUAUGUUUUAUAUAUAUUUUGAUGCUGUUGAAAAUAAUUUUCAUUAUUCCAUUUAUGUUAUUUCAUUUGACGUCAUUAGGAAUAAUGAAGUAACCGACACCUUCUGAGAAAUCAAUGGAAAGAAAUUACUUUGACUUUUCAUUUCUCACUGAAGAAAUUCUGGCCACGUGCAACUUGGUCCACAUGGAAUCUCAAAUUCAAAAACCUACUUGGAUACAAGAUUCCACAGCCGCUAGGAGUUCUCCUCGAGAGGCACGGUGAGUGUGUGCAGAUGGAAACCAGGAGUAGGUAUGGUCUUCUCAUUACCACCUCCCCCAACACUUAUUUUAUCAUCCUUUCCUUAAAGACCAGGGAAGAUUUUGUGUUCUGAUUCCUUUAUUUUCAGGCAACUGCAGGGAACUUUAGAUCACAUCUGUCAGCUAAAAAUUCCAAGGAAGCUGCCUGCAUGCUAGUCGGGCUUCAGAAGAUGAAAGGUCAAGUAAUAACUGGUGAGGGAGACGAGCUGCAAAAGAGGAAAAUGAAAAUCUAUUGAAAAAUGGGGAGUUACUGUAGAAGGCUACGGAGCUGAGAAGGGCCCAGGAGAACAUUCCCAACUGAUUCCAAAAUGGCCAUGAAGUCACUGCUCCAGAAUCAGCAGUACCAGCAGGAAUAUUAAGAUAGGGAGAGG